rnacentral:tRNA from 1 species
GGGUCGAUGCCCGAGGGGUUAAAGGGGGCGGAUUGUAAAUCCGCUAGCCAAGCUUUCGCUGGUUCAAAUCCAGUUCGACCCA